GAUGAACGCUGGCGGCGUGCCUAAUACAUGCAAGUCGAGCGAACAGAUGAGGAGCUUGCUCCUCUGACGUUAGCGGCGGACGGGUGAGUAACACGUGGAUAACCUACCUAUAAGACUGGGAUAACUUCGGGAAACCGGAGCUAAUACCGGAUAAUAUAUUGAACCGCAUGGUUCAAUAGUGAAAGACGGUUUUGCUGUCACUUAUAGAUGGAUCCGCGCCGCAUUAGCUAGUUGGUAAGGUAACGGCUUACCAAGGCAACGAUGCGUAGCCGACCUGAGAGGGUGAACCGCCACACUGGGACUGAGACACGGUCCAGACUCCUACGGGAGGCAGCAGUAGGGAAUCUUCCGCAAUGGGCGAAAGCCUGACGGAGCAACGCCGCGUGAGUGAUGAAGGUCUUCGGAUCGUAAAACUCUGUUAUUAGGGAAGAACAAAUGUGUAAGUAACUAUGCACGUCUUGACGGUAUCUAAUCAGAAAGCCACGGCUAACUACGUG
rnacentral:rRNA from 1 species